rnacentral:sRNA from 1 species
GGGGGCGACAUGGAUUCGACGCCGGUACGGAAAUCUGUAGCGCAUGCCGAGCGGGGUCACAACGCUCGUAAAUCACCAGUGACAUCUUAAAGUAAUCGCUAACGACGAUUCUUACGCACUGGCGGCAUAACUAAGUCCGCCUACCAUCGAGUGCUCGUCGCCUGUGGCGGCACAAGAUGGGCGACGCAACACAGGCUCGCGGUGAGGUUUGGUCCCGAACCGACCCGUUAAAACCCUGAGGGACUCGGCGCUGUCGUCCUGCUUGCCGGGCUGACAGGGCUUAAAGCAAUAGACAAGGCUAAGCAUGUAGACCUGCAGGUGGAUGACUGACGGACGGGGGUUCGAUUCCCCCCGCCUCCACCA